AAUUUUGAAGGGCCGCAGUAUUUUGACUGUGCAAAGGUAGCAUAAUCAUUUGCCUUUUAAUUAAAGGCUUGUAUGAAUGGUUGAACGAAAUACAAACUGUCUCACUUUAAAAAGUUUAAAAAUUUAGCUUUCAAGUUAAAAGGCUUGAAUAAUAUUAGAGGACGAGAAGACCCUAUAGAACUUUAUAAUAUUUUUUGUGAAUUUAUAUAGUAAAAUAUUUUUAUUUAUAAAUAUUAUUAUUUUGUUGGGGUGACAGGAAAAUAAGCAAAACUUUUUUGAAUUUUGAACAUUGAUUUAUGAAUAUUUGAUCCAUUAUUAGUGAUUAUUAGAAUAAGUUACCUUAGGGAUAACAGCGUAAUUUUGUUGAAGAGUUCAAAUCGAUAACAAAGUUUGCGACCUCGAUGUUGAAUUAAAGAAAUUUUAGAGUGCAGAAGCUUUAAGUAAUAGGUCUGUUCGACCUUUAAAUCUUUACAUGAUCUGAGU
rnacentral:rRNA from 1 species